ensembl:snRNA U1 U1 spliceosomal RNA
AUACUUACCCAGCAGGGGAGACACCAUGAUCACGAAGGUGGUUUUCCCAGGGCAAGGCUUAUCCGUUGCACUCCAGUUGUGCUGACCCCAUGUGAUUUCCCCAAAUGUGGGAAACUCGACUGCAUAAUUUACAGUAGUGGGGGACUGCGUUCGCGCUCUCCCCUG